rnacentral:lncRNA from 1 species
UUAAGUGGAUUAUGUAAAUGUAACUUAUCUGCAAAGGGUUGUUAAUUGAUCGCAUGACAGCGUUAACUGUUGACGACGCAACACAUGUCAUCCAACAUAUUGCUAAACAUGUGGAACUUGAACUUGUCACGUUAUAACGUAUAGCGAUACAACAUGUAGGGUUUAAACGCGUGACCGUGCAUCAUGUAAUCGUACUGUGUCAAUAUACCCGUCGAGUAUUCAACAAAGAAUCAGCGGUCGUAUUUAUCAGCCGUCAAACAACGAUACAAACACGUGAUUUAGUAACGAUCUUCAGAUAUAUAUAUAAAUGUUCGUAAAAAAGACGAUUUGAAGAUAACUCCGUGACAGUAUAAUUAUAUGAGAAUGAAAUUAAAAGUAAAUAUUAAAUGAAGUUCAAGCAUGAUAAGUGCAAAGUGCAUUUCGUAAAAGACGUUCGUGAAAUUUCGUGUAACAAAAAGAGAAAAGAGAUAUUGCUCGGACGAGUGUACUUCAUUAAUAUUACGGUAUAGGAAUCGAUAAUAAAGUAUUCUGCAUAAGCCAGAAGUUGGAUCGUAUGUUUCUUUGAUUAACAGUUUAAUGAACCCGUAAUCGCACGUACCGGAGACUAUCAUGUAUCUGAGUUAUUACUUUGGUAGUAACCGAUAUGUUUAAUUUUAAUAAUAAUCUUGAAAAAAAAAAACGAGUCGAAUCGACAAAACAGUGGAGCAUCGCCCAAUCUAUAAUUAGCAUCACAUAUUCUGGUUAUUUGCACUCAAGUCAGCUUCAUUUUUCUGUGUCGCCUAACUCGACAUUUACAUUUUAUUUUUUCUAUUUCUUUGACACAAAUACACCUGGAUUUUUUUCGAUUCUAAUAGUAUCCCAUAAGAUGUUUAAUACAUUAAUUGCUAUCGGAAGAUUUCGCUCGCUCUUUAGCAAGUUUAAUAUGUUUUCGCGUCCUCGCGCGAAAUACGGAUUUAAGUCAUUUCCAGUUAUUUUACAUAAAUUUGAUUAAUCUACAUACAAGUUUGACCAGUUCAUUUCUUCUUAACCGCUCUUGCUACGCGAGAAUAUUAUCAAGAAUAGUAUCCAAUUUUAUCAACAUUUUUCAGCGAGUUAAUUGAACUUUCGAUUCGGUUCAAAAAUGUCAGUGUCCGACAAAACUUCCCUUUUCUGACAUGAAAACGGUCCACAGGAAAAGGAUAACAAAAACAGUAUUAUUUCUCACACUUUGGAUGAAAAAUCACGUUCAGUCGUAAGCUUCAGACGUAAAAACAUUGUACUGUUUUAUCCCAUUUUUUUCAUGACGUCACGCGUCAACAUCAUCCCAUAACCGCAUAUCUUUUAUGUGCCAAGGUUUAUAACAAAUAAAUAUAACAUUUGGAUGGUAAUGAAUUUUACAAUUUUCUACACAAUUCAACCUUUGAACAUUCGUUUCCCAAAGGUUAAACAAGGAAUUUGCAUGUCAGUACACAGCAUAUCCGGUUGAGGUGUAUAAAUAUUACUGUUUCUUCACAUAGGCAGUUUAUUGCGCAUUUCGAGAUGAAUUUAAUCUUUCAAAAGUGAUAAUUAAAAGGAAAAAAAUUGCCUUAUUUAAGAUAAUAACGAUUCAAUGUAUCAGUGAUGGCAAAAGAAUACAUAGUGAUCAAUUUUUUUUUAGUCAUUCAAUUUGCAAAUUAAUUUAUUAAUGCUGUACCGAGAAAGAAAAAAUGAAUAGUUGGUUUUCUAAACAUUUCCAUGCUGAAUACUUAUUUCAGUAUAUUAGGAUACGCUGAUUACGUAUACGCAUAUACGUCAUGAGAGGAGCUAUAGGUCAAUAUUAAACAAUCAUCCUUCUACGAAGAACAUGAAAGGAAAAUAAAACAUUAGAAUUCAAAAGCCGUAGAAAAACAUUUCAUAAAUCAUAUGUAUCAUAAAACCGAUCAUAAAUAAUAAGCCGAUAAUACAAAUUUUUGUUGGUGUAAUUAAUAAUAAAAAAGAGCCUUAAAAUACCUUCUAAUGAAUAAGUAGCAAAGUCCGUAAGCCUCAAUGAAUAUUUACAUUUAAUAGACAUAACUAUAACGUCUAAAUAUCCGCAGAUCGGUAAAUGUCAAUGGAGAUAAGUUGAAAAGAAUUAUAAACGUGAUUUUAUUUUGGGUAUUGGAAGUCGUGUGAAUCGCGUUUGAAAAACGAUUAAGUAACGCGAUAAUUACACACGCGUUGGUACAACUUUAUCUUCGUUAAUUUAAAUAAUAUAUUGGCUGCGAUGACAUAUAUUGUCGCGAGAGUAUCGCGAGUAGAAAUUUGGAAGCAAAAACUUUCAACUCGAUAACAAAAAAACAACGAAAUACGCUUGGACGCGCGUGACCUGUCCGAUAAACUUUGUUGCUUACCACAAGGUGAAAAUGCCGGCAGUAAUGUGGGUUUUUGAAUAAUUCUCGAAUAUUCGAGCGACGGGGGUAUCAGAAAAUGAUCGAAUUAUUAUUGCGAACGUACAUCUUGUUAGUGAAAGAAUAUGCCGUAAGGAUUUCGCGGUUUGUUGACUACCUAACGGCUCGAUGCAUUCCCGCACAAUAUUUUAUUUUUUCUUACGAGUAGAUAAAUUAAUUUUUAAAUAUUCUGUGAACGAACAAAAUUUAAAUUAAAUCGUUCAAUUGACGAUGGCGCGUUCCCUUGUUAAUAUUACUGACACCUAGCCGAAGCAUAUGGCGAUUCGUUAGAAUUUCCGGCUGCUACCAGAAAUCGAUGCGCGCGCAGGAACAGCUCAUCAUUUGACGGAGUAACGGAUGAGGAGCUCUUAUUUAGGUAGAUGACCAAAGAAAACAAGAUGAGGUAUGAACCGUCUAUUGUGAAUGCAAUUUAAACUCGCUUAUUUCAGUCUAUCGUCACCUUCUUUGCAGACAAGAUUAUUUCUUCCGAUUAAAUUCAACCCGAGUUUAAAAAAACGACUGCGUUUCAAGUUCUCUGAUGUUCGAUAAAAUAACGAAACGAAUUAAUAGAAAGAUUAUUUCGUAACGCGUUUCAUGGAAAGUUCAACAAUCUGAAAUAUGUUACAUAUAACUUUUACCGAAUACUUUCUAAGGUAUUGUGUUUACAAAACUGAUGGCAAAAAAUUAGCAGGAACCGGAAGUAUUGAUGGAGGUCUAGUUCGCGCCUGAAGUGACACGUGUAAAACAUAACCUCUUGAAAAGACACGGAGGGUCUGCAACCGGAACAGUGACUCAAAAGUCGACCACCAUCGGUACUUCCUGUUAUGAUCGGUUUUUCUAAUGAAUAUUUAUGCACAUGAUCUAAUUAAUCAGAAAUACUUUUUUAUAGAUUACUCAUAUUAACGAUAAUAUAUUUUUUGUAAGAUGUACUAGAGACUAUGUGAGUACAAUACGUGUCGUAAAAGUUUCGUGUAAACAAACCUCUAGUGCUUUUAAUAUUUAAAAGAAUAACAAGACCAGCAUAAAUGAGUGCAACGCCGUAUACGUGUAUGACUAUGUCUAUAUUCUCUUUUACGUCAAAUGUAUAAAAUUGAAACGUCAUAAAUAGAUAAUACGACUAGAAAACCGGUUACAGUUAUAAAAUAACAAAAAAUAAAACAAAAAUUGGUUUCAAUUUCCUUGCGACUCUUCAGUCUACAUAGCAGUUAACUGAAAGGUCAAGUUGAAGGAACGUAAAUUCUAAUUAUAUAUCUCGAUUUCACCAGUUCACAUAACUAUUUUUAUUCUAAUUAAAUUGAGGUAUUUUAAAGUUUUUUAUACGAUCUGUUUUCUAACGCUAUCUUUACGAUCAAUAUCGUGGAUAGAACCCGAUAAACACGAUCGUUAAGUUUAACAUUCAAUGUACGCUAUGAAUAAUGUACGUAUGUAUAAUUAUUAUAGAUUUGUAAUGUAUCAUUUACAUUGGGUUACAGUUCAAUACUUUAAUUAAGUAUGCAUAAGAAAUUUGACAGUGUGUAAUUUACGACAUUGAUUGAAGAAUUCUACACGAACUUGCAAACUUCGUUAAGAAACUGUUAUA